CUGGCUUUCCUGCUGUGCCUCUUUUCUGGUUCGUGUCCCAGGCCAGUCUCAGACUCUGCAACAGGACCGUGACUCCAGGGCCGGGUUUAGACCUAGGAUAUGAGGCAGAUGACAAGAGUGACUGUGCUCUUGCUCUUGGGUACUUUGAGCCUCGCUAAGACCACCCAGCCCGUAUUCAUCGAGUCCUACGAAGGACAAGAAGUGAACAUACCCUGUAACCACACCAAGAUCGCUACAAAUGAGUAUAUCCACUGGUACCGACAGUUCCCCAACCAGGGACCACAAUUUGUUAUUCAAGGAUAUAAGACAAACGUGGAAAAUGAAGUGGCAUCCCUGUUCAUCUCUGCGGACAGGACGUCCAGCACCCUGAGCCUGCCUCGGGCUGCCCUGAGAGACACUGCUGUGUAUUACUGCACCGGUGCGGGGACAAGUGGCAGAGCGCUCAAUUUUGGGAGUGGAACAAGACUCCAAGUGCAUCCAACUAUUCAGAACCCUGACCCUGCCGUGUACCAGCUGAAAAGCCCUGAAUUCAGUAACAUCUCUGUCUGCCUGUUCACUGAUUUUGAUUCGAAAGUCAAUGUGAAACCAUCCACAGAGUCCAACAUGAUUAGAUUGAAAAGUACUUCACUGGACAUGAAGACUAUGGAUUCCAAGAGCAACGGGGCCCUGGCCUGGAGCAACAGCUUUGAUUUGGGAUGCAACAGUACCUUCAACUACACCUUCCACUCCAGCUCAGAAUUUCCCUGCGAUGCCAAUGUGGUAGAGAAAGGCUUUGAAACAGAUAUGAACCUAAAUUUCUACAACCUGACAGUGAUCAUGCUCCGCAUCAUCUUCCUGAAGGUGGUUGGCUUUAACCUGCUCAUGACGCUGAGGCUGUGGUCCAGCUGAGGUCGCCAAGAAUGUGAGAGCCCAGCGCUCCCCUGCUCCUCCCACACCUUCUCCCCCUCUUCAAGAAGAGAGGCACACUCUCUGCCCCCAUGGAGAAUAAGGUCCCCUCCACCUCUCUGGUCCCACUGGCAACGCCACUGACCGAACCCUAGCAGACAUUUGUGAUCAAGAUGCUGAAGAGCUGCCAAACACCGCUGCCACACCCUCUGUCCCCUCAUCGCUGCUUGUCACUGCCUGACACUCCCGGCAAAGGAGCUGCUGCUGUGGCCUCACCUGGCUGGGGAGAAACUCCCCGGCCUUCCCCUGAGACUGCCCAUAUGUCCCCUGGAUGAGGGAUCCCCAGUGGGUCCUCUCGGGCUCUAGCUCCUGGAGAAUGUUGUGAGGAGUUUAUAUAUUUUAAAUUAUGUUCAUAAAGGAAUAACACAUCACACUUGUCCCCAAGAUGUGAGGAAAAUUAUUAUCUAGGCCCUGCUGUGCUGUGUAUCUGAGCCACAUUGUAUAUUCUGCUACCCAUGACUUCAUUAAAGGCGACUGAAAGAGCA